GACGAACGCUGGCGGCGUGCUUAACACAUGCAAGUCGAACGGGUCUGCCCUGUUUUUUGCGGGGUGGGUCAGUGGCGAACGGGUGAGUAACACGUGAGUAACCUGCCCCUCACUUCUGGAUAACCGCUUGAAAGGGUGGCUAAUACGGGGUGUUCUGGCUGUGCCGCAUGGUGUGGCUGGGAAAGAUUCACUUUUGUGGUGUUUUGGUGGGGGAUGGGCUCGCGGCCUAUCAGCUUGUUGGUGGGGUGAUGGCCUGCCAAGGCUUUGACGGGUAGCCGGCCUGAGAGGGUGGGCGGUCACACUGGGACUGAGAGACGGCCCAGACUCCUGCGGGAGGCAGCAGUGGGGGGUAUUGCACAAUGGGCGGAAGCCUGAUGCAGCGGCGUCGCGUGAGGGAUGGAGGCCUUCGGGUUGUGAACCUCUUUCGCCGGUGAAGAAGGUCCUGCUCUUUGUGGUGGGGUUGACGGUAGCCGGGUUAUGAAGCGCCGGCUAACUACGUG
rnacentral:rRNA from 1 species